AUACGGAGGGUGCAAGCGUUAUUCGGAAUCACUGGGCGUAAAGGACGCGUAGGCGGGUUGGCAAGUCAGAUGUGAAAUCCUACAGCUUGACUGUAGAACUGCAUUUGAAACUGCUAACCUAGAGUAUGUGAGGGGGAGAUGGAAUUAGUGGUGUAGGGGUAAAAUCCGUAGAUAUCACUAGGAAUACCGAAAGCGAAGGCGAUCUCCUGGAACAUAACUGACGCUAAGGCGUGAAAGCGUGGGGAGCAAACAGGAUUAGAUACCCUAGUAGUCC
rnacentral:rRNA from 1 species